AUAAAUCACAUAAACCACAUAAAAUCCCUGUUAACUUAGCAAAAUCACACCUACCUCCACAUUCUACAUAGUAACAGCACUUAACAGCUUAUUGUUACCUUAAACCUGAAGGAGUAGAGAACUCGUGUAAUUUUAUACUAUACCACUUUGACUCUACUUGGGUAAUUUAUUUUAAAAAAUGAUUUCAGGUGAUAAGCCUUGUUUUAUUGUUAAAGUUUGAGGACAAAAAUAUUUAAUUUAUGUAAGGCAAUCCUGCUUCAUUUCUAAACCCUUUCUAGCUGUCUGCCGUUGAAUUUGAAAAUUGGAUGCUGUUUCCCAUUGUUGUCCCUAGGUGGCGCUAUAUCUUUUCAGUCAAAGGGUUCAUUCUUUUUUUUUUUUUUUGGCUUUUUUUUGACCCCUGGCCUGGGAACCUCCUUAUGCCACGGAAGCAGCCCUAGAAAAGGCAAAAAGACAAAAAAAAUAAAAUAAAUAAAAAUAAAAAGCAAAAAACAGUUCUCUUGUGGCUCAGCAGGUUAAGGAUCCUGCACUGUAACUGUGGCAGCUGGGGUUGCUGCUCUGGUGUGGGUUCGAUCCCUGGCCCAGGGAACUUCUGCAUGUUGUGAGUGCAGCCAAUAAAGAAGAAAAAAAAAUUUUUUUUUUCAGAAUACUAGAAUCAGAAGGAGAGUAGGAGGAUCAGAUCCACUGCAACUGGUAGAAAGUCCCAGACCAUAUCACUUCUCAUGCUGUAUUGUACUCAAAGUAGAUGUAUCUGUCUUCCUGCCAGAUGGCGAGCAGCUUGACCACAGAAUCUGGUCAUUGCAUUAUCUGCAUGCCCAGCUCAGCAUAGUGUUAAGCUGGGCGUACAGUGUUGCAUACCCAACACUGCUGGAUGUUGAAUAAAUGUUACUUUCCACAUUGACAAAUUAAAUUCAGGACAAGGAAAAGAAAGCACUUUUCAUGAAAAUGGGAGUAAAACUAAAGUUCUCAUAGCCAUUGACCCUGUCAUUUCAGAUUACUGUGGAGCAAAUGCUGGGCAUCAUAUAAUUUUAUCUGUAGAUAUUCCAUCCUGCAUGUCCAGGUUAUAAGGAUUCCUUCAAAAUUCAUAACCAGAACACCAUUGUCACACCUAAAAUUUUAACAAUGCUUCCUUACUAUCAUCAAAUAUCCAUUUGAUGUUAAAAUUUCCCAUAAAAUUUCCCAUUCUUCUCUUAAUUUAUGACUCAUUUGAAUCAAUAUCAAAAUAAGGUAUAUACAUUACAUUAGUUGAUGUGUUUGUCUUAUUUCUCAUUAAAAUUUUGUUUAAUCAUUCUUUUUUCCAACUUUUUAUACAAAAAAAUUCAAAUGGACAGAAGAGUUACAGAAGGAAAAGGAGGAGAUAGAGGAGGAGGAGAAAGAGGGAGAAAAAGGUGGUAUAGUGAGAAGGGUACCCCUUAUUGCUACUCACUCAUUGACUGGGGGACUCCCCAAGAAGAGUGUGCUCUUGACUAACUUGAACUUGCUCAACUUUGCCAGGGGCUGCCCCAAGAAUAGGUGACCUCAGCUGGAAAGCUGAGGUGAUUCUGAAGAAGCUACUGGCAGGAGCAAUGAGCAAACCACUCUCCAUGGAUCUAGCAAGUGGUGUUUUCUGGAAGGAGAAUCUGGCAGUGCAUCUUUGUGUUUUCCAUGGUCCACUGUUUGUGGCUCACAGAUCCUCUUCUUCACACAGGUUUGGAGAACAUCUUCCUGGGCUCUGAUGGUCCUCAUCUCCAUAGGAAACAAAAGAGGGAGGCUAGUAGGGCAAACCACAGCCCUUGUUCCUGCAGUUGGUGACAGGGCUAUAAGUAGCACUCACCACUUUCUCCUUUAGGAUCCUAGUUACCCCUUGCUGAUUUUUUUUUCUUUUUUUUUUUUGGCCGCACCUAUGGCAUGUGGAAGUUCCCAGGCCAGUGAUCAAACCCAUGCCAUAGCAGUGACAAUACUAGAUCCUUAACCCACUGAGCCAUAAGGAAACUCCCCCUCGCAGAUCUUGGUGCCCUAAACCCUCAUUUGAGAGGAGCAUGAGCACCUCCAAUCUUAUCCCUUCACUCCUUGCUAGAAGGCAUGACUCGGGAGCACAUAGAGAUGUUUCUGGAAAAAGACUCCUGCUUUUUGUAAAGAAAUGGUUUAAUUCAGUGGAAGUCAUGAGGCAGGAAAAAAAGAGAAGUCUCCCCAGUUGACUUUCAUGUCAUGUGAGAAAGUCUGAAGGGAAACUCUUAAAAGGUUUAAUC
rnacentral:lncRNA from 1 species